rnacentral:rRNA from 1 species
UACGUAGGGUCCGAGCGUUGUCCGGAAUUAUUGGGCGUAAAGGGCUCGUAGGCGGUUCGUCACGUCGGGAGUGAAAACUCGGGGCUUAACCCCGAGCCUGCUUCCGAUACGGGCAGACUAGAGGUAGGCAGGGGAGAGCGGAACUCCUGGUGUAGCGGUGGAAUGCGCAGAUAUCAGGAAGAACACCGGUGGCGAAGGCGGCUCUCUGGGCCUUACCUGACGCUGAGGAGCGAAAGCGUGGGGAGCGAACAGG